UGCGGGAUGCCGAAGUCGGGUUCCGCACUGUGAUCCCUUGCUGAAUCAUUCAGGAGAAUUGUCAUGAGC
rnacentral:sRNA from 1 species